rnacentral:lncRNA from 1 species
AAUGAAAACUUUCCAAAAAUAGCAGGUUUUAAGAAAAUUAUUUAAAAAUACAACAUAUUGAUGAAAAAAUCUUAAAGAAUACUCAUCUAUCCACAAAUAUUUUUGUUAUCCUAAUUUAUAAAUCACAAACCCAAAUCUACAAUAUUUCUCAAGAAAAUGAAAACUUUCCAAAAAUGACAGUUUUUAAGAAAAUUAUUUAAAAAUACAAAAUAUUGAUGAAAAAUUCUUAAAGAAUACUCAUCUAUUCACAAAUAUUCUUGUUAUCCUAAUUUAUAAAUCACAAUCUCAAAUCUACAAUAUUUCUCAAGAAAAUGAAAACUUUCCAAAAAUAACAAUUUUUAAGAAAAUUAUUUAACAAUACAACAUAUUGAUGAAAAAUUCUUAAAGAAUACUCAUCUAUCCACAAGUAUUCUUGUUAUCCUAAUUUAUAAAUUAUAAACCCAAAUCUACAAUAUUUCUCACAAAAAUGAAAACUUCCAAAAAAUAGCACUUUUUGAGAAAGUUAUUUAAAAAUACAACAUAUUGAUGAAAAAAUCGUAAAUAAUACUCAUCUAUCCACAAAUAAUCUUGUUAUCCUAAUUUAUAUAUCACAAUCCCAAAUCUACAAUAUUUCUCAAGAAAAUGAAAACUUUCCAAAAAUAGCAAUUUCUAAGAAAAUUAUUUAAAAAUACAAC